CUUCUCCCAUCGCUGGCCUCCUUCUUCGCAGCUGCAUGAAGGAACCAAGGAAGAGACGCCGCCUCUCAUCUCCGGCUAGCAGGCAACUCGCCUCCCUGCUCGCCCACUCCUUAACCGGGAUCCGGGAUCCGCGUCCGCCGCCAUUGGGACUUCACCGUGGUGGCCGUCGCCUCCACGCAGAGUGCGGCCGAUGGCCGCCGCCUGGUCAUCACCGUGGCCGCCGCGGGAUCCCAUCCUCACAGAGUACCGUUGGUGUAGAUAUCCAUGCUCCAGCGAUUUCUGAUGCUGGUGUCGUAGACUAUGUAGGUAAGGACUGCAGCCGCUGCCAAGGCCCUAGCCAGGCCGGAACCGCAACCGGUACAAUAAUACGCGCCUGCCAUCCCUCUAUGCGCCCCCGAGACCCCCACUGCAAUUUCCUUCAAAUCAUGUUCGACAUUCGCAGCCAGACGUGGAUCCACCAGCCUGCCUCAGCCAAUUACACUCAGGAGUCAGGACAUAUAGAAGAAUCUGGGUUAUUGGAUGAUUGUCGUUGAUGCUACUAGGAUGAGGACGUCACCAGGUACAAGGUGCGGUGGGUUUCUCUGCAGAUGGAGACGGCCGCCAUCCACAGCGCACGCGACCUACCGACAUCCUCGCAGGAAGCCUGCCUCCACUCUCAGGACUACUUGCUCUGCAGAACAGCAACGGUUCGACCCAAUACAGGGCAUGUUCAUACUGGAACCGUGGGUGUAGAUUUUGUACAUAUUGGAAUCAUGGUGCAGAAGUUACAACACGAUGAGACUUGGUUGAUGGUUAAAAAAACCUCUUACCGUAGCACUGUACGUGAGUACGUCCGUUUUAACUCUACCCACACAAAAAUGAUCAUCUAAUUUCCUAAGUUACCGGUCACGCAAAACUAUGGUUAAUUCUUCAUAUUAUCAGAAGUAGAAAUAGACCUGACCUAUAAGAUAUCUUAUGAGCUUAGAAGAAAUCGUGCAAACUAAAGGCUCCUGGAAUAAUAGUUUUUGAUUCCCCACCUUGCCAUAUUGUCAUCUAUUCGCACCUUGUGUGGAACAUCGCAAGCUUCCCACCCAGUCCCACCACCAUGUUCAUGUUCAAUUCAUUAUGUUGCCACGUCUUACAGGUUGCAUUCUCUUGGUCCCCAUCUCGGCGCAUGAUCACAAUGAUCUGGAUAGUAAUCCAAUAAUAUAUAUGGAUAGCUUCCUUCAAGUUUUGGUUAUGGUUGGAGCAUUUAUAGUUUGAUGUCAAAGUUUUGU